rnacentral:tRNA from 1 species
GCCGCGGUAGCUCAGGUAGUAGAUGCGCAGCUCUGAAAAAGCUGAGGUCGCCGGCGCACGUCCGGCCCGCGGCA